rnacentral:lncRNA from 1 species
AUGCCCAAGAGAACUCUCUACAGGAUGAGCCUGUGCACUAGAGAAGGGGUUACAGAGGCUACGGCCAGAGGAAGCUUUGUGACAGCUGCGCCUAGGGAGAGUCUUCACGACCCCUGUGCUUGGAGAAUGUACGACCGAAGGAGAGGCUGGGUACAAUUUACCAGCAGAACCCUACAGAGGAAAAGACCACAACCACAGACAAAGGAGACCAGGAAGCAGAGAAAUCCUGAGGACAAGGCCCAUGUACACCAGCAGUCUGCUGUUUGUGACCAAAAUGACCAUUUGGAGACAUCAAACAACCAGUCCUCAACCAGCAACUGACCAGUAAUUUGUCCUAUUGGUCAAAUUACUUUUGCAUGUUUAGAUCUUGCCUCAGAAGAUUUUGUGGUCUAGCAGAUGGCUUCAGGAAAAUCACGUCUACUUUACACACGGAAGUAGACGUUUUACAAAAUAUUUUAAUUAUAUUUUCUUAUCAUAAAAAUAAUAUGAGAAUUUUAUUAGAAAUUAGAAAAUGUAGGGGUGCCUGGGUGGCUCAGCCGGUUGAGUGUCUGCCUUUGGCUCAGGUCAUGAUCCCAGGGUCCUGAGAUUGAGCCCCGCAUCAGGCUCUCUGCUCAGCAGGGAGUCUACUUCUUCCUCUCAUUCUCCCUCUGCUCUGUCUCUCAACUAAAUAAAUAAAAUCUUUAAAAAAAAAUUAAAGACUAGAAAAUACAAAGAAAAGAAAGAAAAUAAAUCCCUCAUAAUCCUUACCUUUAGUAAUAUCCCUUAUUAACAUAAUUGUUUUUCCUUGCAAUUAGUGGUUUCUUCUAAUCUUCUCCCUCUGUACAGAUAUAUAGCAUACGGUAUGUAUUUUUUAUUCCUGCUUUUUUCCCAUAAAAUUAUAUGAUAAGCUUUCCCAUGUCACUCAAUAUCCUUUGAAAACUACGCUAAGGACUGCAUAAAAUUCCAUUCUGACAAUGAACCAUCAUUAUGUAACUGUUCUCCUGGUAUCAGACAUUUAAGCUGUUUCUAUGUUUCAAAAAUAAAAAUGUCAUGAAAAAAAAAAGAGACAAUCAGCCCUAGAUAUCUCCUGAUCAAAGCACACAUCAGCACCUAUGAAGAAUGCCUGUCAAAAAAUUGAACUUGAAUCUGAUAAGGUCUCUAGAUCUAACCUCCAAUUUAUUAGAAAUGAGUGACAGAGGAACACAUGAGUGACAUUAUGACACCAGAAAAAUCUGGGUUCCAGGAAACUACAG